rnacentral:rRNA from 1 species
AGAGUUUGAUCCUGGCUCAGGAUGAACGCUAGCGACAGGCUUAACACAUGCAAGUCGAGGGGCAGCAUGGUUUGUAGCAAUACAGAUUGAUGGCGACCGGCGCACGGGUGAGUAACGCGUAUGCAACUUACCUAUCAGAGGGGGAUAGCCCGGCGAAAGUCGGAUUAAUACCCCAUAAAACAGGGGUCCCGCAUGGGAAUAUUUGUUAAAGAUUCAUCGCUGAUAGAUAGGCAUGCGUUCCAUUAGGCAGUUGGCGGGGUAACGGCCCACCAAACCGACGAUGGAUAGGGGUUCUGAGAGGAAGGUCCCCCANAUUGGUACUGAGACACGGACCAAACUCCGUACGGGAGCA